AGCUUCCUCAAUUGAUACAAAUUGGGGAUGCUUAUGUGUCUUCUGAGAACGUUCUUAUGUUGAAAGACGAUGAUAGAGUUUUACAGGAAAAUCCUCAAAUUUUACAAAGAAGUCAAACAUUAUUGGAGACAACUCUCAGGUAGUUGAGAGCGCAUGGCACGAGUCUGGGACCUGGUUUUUAUUUUCCUUCAAGCUAAGGCUAUUUGCCAGAUAAAGUACCAUUGAGGCAUCGAAGAAGCUAUGGAAGUGGGAAUAUUAUAUUCUGCAACAUAAGAGGAAAUGAAUUCAAUAAAAAAAAAAAUUUAAAUAGUAUUGUUAAAAGAUAAAACAAGAUGACUCUGCUUUGUGCAAGUAAUA